rnacentral:rRNA from 1 species
AACUGAGACACGGUCCAGACUCCUACGGGAGGCAGCAGUGGGGAAUUUUGGACAAUGGGGGCAACCCUGAUCCAGCAAUGCCGCGUGAGUGAAGAAGGCCUUCGGGUUGUAAAGCUCUUUUGUCAGGGAAGAAACGGUGGAGGUUAAUACCUUCUGCUAAUGACGGUACCUGAAGAAUAAGCACCGGCUAACUACGUGCCAGCAGCCGCGGUAAUACGUAGGGUGCAAGCGUUAAUCGGAAUUACUGGGCGUAAAGCGUGCGCAGGCGGUUGUGCAAGACAGAUGUGGAAUCCCCGGGCUCAACCUGGGAAUUGCAUUUGUGACUGUACGGCUAGAGUGUGUCAGAGGGGGGUAGAAUUCCACGUGUAGCAGUGAAAUGCGUAGAGAUGUGGAGGAAUACCGAUGGCGAAGGCAGCCCCCUGGGAUAACACUGACGCUCAUGCACGAAAGCGUGGGGAGCAAACAGGAUUAGAUACCCUGGUAGUCCACGCCCUAAACGAUGUCUACUAGUUGUCGGGUCUUAAUUGAAUUGGUAACGCAGCUAACGCGUGAAGUAGACCGCCUGGGGAGUACGGUCGCAAGAUUAAAACUCAAAGGAAU